rnacentral:rRNA from 1 species
AUUGGCAACUGGGAGACUUGAGUGCAGAAGAGGGGAGUGGAACUCGAUGUGUAGCGGUGAAAGGCGUAGAUAUAUGGAAGAACACCAGUGGCGAAGGCGGCUCUCUGGUCUGUAACUGACGCUGAGGUUCGAAAGCGUGGGUAGCAAACAGG